GAAAUGAUGUCCAUCUCUAUUCAGGAUAAGGACGGAAAGACUCCAAGUCAGUUGGUUGAACACGAGGAUACAGAGCUCUUCUCCUACCUGGAGUCCCAACGACAGUUUCAGGAGGUGGCCCUUGAAGAUUUGGAAACAAACCUUUAGUGCUCUAUUUUAAACAUAUUGUUAUCUUUUCAGAGAUCUGAUUCGUUUAUUAAACCUUUUUCUUUUUCAUUAAUAGCUAUUAUAUAAAGACUUAAAAAUAAACACGACUUGAAAAUUGUU